rnacentral:rRNA from 1 species
ACUACAUGAAGCUGGAAUCGCUAGUAAUCGCGAAUCAGAAUGUCGCGGUGAAUACGUUCCCGGGUCUUGUACACACCGCCCGUCACACCAUGGGAGCCGGAAAUGCCCGAAGCCAGUGACCCAACCUUAGGGAGGGAGCUGUCGAAGGUGGAGCCGGUAACUGGGGUGAAGUCGUAACAAGGUAUC